rnacentral:rRNA from 1 species
UGCAGUCGACGGCAGCGCGCGGCAACCUGGCGGCGAGUGGCGAACGGGUGAGUAAUACAUCGGAACGUACCCAGAAGUGGGGGAUAACGUAGCGAAAGUUACGCUAAUACCGCAUACGUUCUACGGAAGAAAGUGGGGGAUCGCAAGACCUCAUGCUUUUGGAGCGGCCGAUGUCUGAUUAGCUAGUUGGUGAGGUAAAGGCUCACCAAGGCGACGAUCAGUAGCUGGUCUGAGAGGACGACCAGCCACACUGGGACUGAGACACGGCCCAGACUCCUACGGGAGGCAGCAGUGGGGAAUUUUGGACAAUGGGGGCAACCCUGAUCCAGCAAUGCCGCGUGAGUGAAGAAGGCCUUCGGGUUGUAAAGCUCUUUUGUCAGGGAAGAAAAGGUGAGGGCUAAUAUCCUUCAUCAAUGACGGUACCUGAAGAAUAAGCACCGGCUAACUACGUGCCAGCAGCCGCGGUAAUACGUAGGGUGCAAGCGUUAAUCGGAAUUACUGGGCGUAAAGCGUGCGCAGGCGGUUUUGUAAGACUGUCGUGAAAUCCCCGGGCUUAACCUGGGAAUGGCGAUGGUGACUGCAAGGCUAGAGUUUGGCAGAGGGGGGUAGAAUUCCACGUGUAGCAGUGAAAUGCGUAGAGAUGUGGAGGAACACCGAUGGCGAAGGCAGCCCCCUGGGUCAAGACUGACGCUCAUGC